rnacentral:misc_RNA from 1 species
AACGCACGAGACCUGCGGACCUGCGGAAGGAUCAUCAAAAAAAAAAGAGAAGAGGGGUGAAAGUUUCUUCACCCCUCUCUUUUUUAUUAAUUUUUUCUUUCUUUCCCCCUUUUUCCAUGCCUACUCCUUCCUAGGAAGUUGUAAUUAGAGAAAAAGGGGGUGAAGAAAAGAAACUUGUCGACUUCUUGUUGUCCCCUUUUUUAGGAGAGUUUCUUUUAAAAAAGGGGGUAGACCCUUUUC